AGUCAGCGAUUAAUGAGCAUAAGUGGUAAAAUGGCUGAGUAAGUAUUAGGCUGUAAACCUAAAGACGGGGGUUUAGUCCCCCUUUUACC
rnacentral:tRNA from 1 species